UACGUAGGGGGCAAGCGUUAUCCGGAUUUACUGGGUGUAAAGGGAGCGUAGACGGUUAUGCAAGUCUGGAGUGAAAGGCGGGGGCUCAACCCCCCGGACUGCUCUGGAAACUGUAGAACUAGAGUGCAGGAGGGGUAAGUGGAAUUCCUAGUGUAGCGGUGAAAUGCGUAGAUAUUAGGAGGAACACCAGUGGCGAAGGCGGUCUGCUGGACAGCAACUGACGCUGAGGCUCGAAAGCGUGGGGAGCAAACAGG
rnacentral:rRNA from 1 species